UAGGGAAUCUUCCGCAAUGGACGAAAGUCUGACGGAGCAACGCCGCGUGAGUGAUGAAGGUUUUCGGAUUGUAAAGCUCUGUUGUUAGGGAAGAACAAGUACCGUUCGAAUAGGGCGGUACCUUGACGGUACCUAACCAGAAAGCCACGGCUAACUACGUGCCAGCAGCCGCGGUAAUACGUAGGUGGCAAGCGUUGUCCGGAAUUAUUGGGCGUAAAGGGCGCGCAGGCGGUUUCUUAAGUCUGAUGUGAAAGCCCCCGGCUCAACCGGGGAGGGUCAUUGGAAACUGUGGAGCUUGAGUGCAGAAGAGGAGAGUGGAAUUCCACGUGUAGCGGUGAAAUGCGUAGAGAUGUGGAGGAACACCAGUGGCGAAGGCGACUCUCUGGGCUGUAACUGACGCUGAGGAGCGAAAGCGUGGGGAGCGAACA
rnacentral:rRNA from 1 species